UACAGAGGUGGCAAGCGUUGUCCGAAGUUACUGGGCGUAAAGCGCGCGUAGGCGGGGGGUUAAGUGAGAGGUGAAAGGCUGGGGGCUCAACCUCAUGCAGUGCCUCUCAUACUGGCCUUCUUGAGGGCGGUAGGGAGAAGUGGAAUGGCUGGUGUAGCGGUGAAAUGCGUAGAUAUCAGUCGGAACACCGGUGGCGAAGGCGGGUCUCUGGGCCGAUACUGACGCUGAGGAGCGAAAGCGUGGGGAGCGAACAGG
rnacentral:rRNA from 1 species